rnacentral:rRNA from 1 species
GUGAGGAAUCUUGCGCAAUGGGGGAAACCCUGACGCAGCAACGCCGCGUGAGUGAGGAAGGUCUUCGGAUCGUAAAGCUCUGUCGGGUGGAAAGAAAGGUUUGGAAGCCAAUACCUUCCCUGCUUGACGGUACCACCAAAGGAAGCACCGGCUAACUCCGUGCCAGCAGCCGCGGUAAUACGGGGGGUGCAAGCGUUGUUCGGAAUUAUUGGGCGUAAAGAGCGUGUAGGCGGCUUGAUAAGUCAGAUGUGAAAGCCCUGGGCUUAACCCAGGAAGUGCAUUUGAAACUGUCUUGCUUGAGUAAGGGAGGGGGAAGUGGAAUUCCUGGUGUAGAGGUGAAAUUCGUAGAUAUCAGGAGGAACACCGGUGGCGAAGGCGACUUCCUGGCCCUAUACUGACGCUGAGACGCGAGAGCGUGGGUAGCAAACAGGAUUAGAAACCCUAGUAGUCC